GUCUCACUGUAGAGCAAUGGAUAGCGCGUUGAACUUCUCCUCCAAAGGUCGUGGGUUCGAAGGCCAUCUGAGAUA